UGAUGCGGUUAUACCAAGGCUACUACACCAGAUCCCAUCAGAACUCUGAAGUUAAGCGCCUUUGGGCCGGAAUAGUACUGGG
rnacentral:rRNA from 1 species